GACGAACGCUGGCGGCGUGCUUAACACAUGCAAGUCGAACGAAGAGCGAUGGAAGCUUGCUUCUAUCACUCCUAGUGGCGCACGGGUGAGUAACGCGUAAUCAACCUGCCCUUCAGAGGGGGACAACAGUUGGAAACGACUGCUAAUACCGCAUACGAUCUAAUCUCGGCAUCGAGGAUAGAUGAAAGGUGGCCUCUACAUGUAAGCUAUCACUGAAGGAGGGGAUUGCGUCUGAUUAGCUAGUUGGAGGGGUAACGGCCCACCAAGGCGAUGAUCAGUAGCCGGUCUGAGAGGAUGAACGGCCACAUUGGGACUGAGACACGGCCCAGACUCCUACGGGAGGCAGCAGUGGGGAAUCUUCCGCAAUGGACGGAAGUCUGACGGAGCAACGCCGCGUGAGUGAUGACGGCCUUCGGGUUGUAAAGCUCUGUUAAUCGGGACGAAAGGCCUUCUUGCGAAUAGUGAGAAGGAUUGACGGUACCGGAAUAGAAAGCCACGGCUAACUACGUG
rnacentral:rRNA from 1 species